UUACUGCCCCGACCCAACACAUGCAGUGCAGACCUUCAGACCGUACACACACUUCCGCCAGUGAUGCUGUGUUGUAGAGAGAGGAAGAGAAGACAGAAGAGAGAGAAAGGAGAUAGGUGGUGGUGGUGGUGGUGGUAGUAGUAGUAGUAGUAGUAGUAGUAGUAGUAGUAGUAGUAGUAGUAGUAGUAGUCAUUGUGUGGGCCUCUCUCUCUCUCUCUCUCUCUCUCUCUCUCUCUCUCUCUCUCUCUCUCUCUCUCUCUCUCUCUCUCUCUCUCUCUCUCUCUCUCUCUCUCAGCCCCACAGUAUGCUUACAAACCCACAGUCACCCCCCACAGCCAACCCCCACCCCUUUAUAUGUGUGUGUGUACUCUUCAAUAAAGGUAUAUGGUAA